rnacentral:rRNA from 1 species
AGCGAACGCUGGCGGCAGGCUUAACACAUGCAAGUCGAACGCCCGGGCAACCGGGAGUGGCAGACGGGUGAGUAACGCGUGGGAACAUACCCUUUGGUUCGGAAUAACUCAGGGAAACUUGAGCUAAUACCGGAUAAGCCCUUAUGGGGAAAGAUUUAUAGCCGAAGGAUUGGCCCGCGUCCGAUUAGCUAGUUGGUGAGGUAACGGCUCACCAAGGCGACGAUCGGUAGCUGGUCUGAGAGGAUGAUCAGGCACACUGGGACUGAGACACAGCCCAGACUCCUACGGGAGGCAGCAGUGGGGAAUAUUGGACAAUGGGGGCAACCUUGAUCCAGCCAUGCCGCGUGAGUGAUGAAGGCCCUAGGGUUGUAAAGCGCUUUCGGCGGGGACGAUAAUGACGGUACCCGCAGAAGAAGCCCCGGCUAACUUCGUGCCAGCCGCCGCCAUAA